rnacentral:rRNA from 1 species
UAACAGGCUUAUCUCUCCCAAGAGUCCAUAUCGACGGGGAGGUUUGGCACCUCGAUGUCGGCUCAUCACAUCCUGGGGCUGAAGUAGGUCCCAAGGGUUGGGCUGUUCGCCCAUUAAAGUGGUACGCGAGCUGGGUUCAGAACGUCGUGAGACAGUUCGGUCCCUAUCCAUCGCGGGCGUAAGAAACUUGAAAGGGGCUGCUCCUAGUACGAGAGGACCGGAGUGGACCGACCAAUGGUGUACCAGUCAUGGCGCCAGCCGUGCAGCUGGGUAGCUACGUCGGGGACGGAUAAACGCUGAAAGCAUCUAAGCGUGAAACCAGCCUAGAGAUGAGGUUUCUCAUUGUUUUAACAAGUAAGGUCCCACAAAGACGAUGUGGUUGAUAGGCCGGGAGUGGAAGUACAGCGAUGUACGGAGCGGACCGGUACUAAUAGACCGAGGACUUGACUUA